rfam:Ovis aries breed Texel chromosome 5, whole genome shotgun sequence.
UGGCUCAGAUGGUAAAGAAUCUGCCUGUAAUGCAGGAGACCCAGGUUCGAUUCCUGG